GAUGAACGCUGGCGGCGUGCCUAAUACAUGCAAGUCGAGCGAACGGACGAGAAGCUUGCUUCUCUGAUGUUAGCGGCGGACGGGUGAGUAACACGUGGAUAACCUACCUAUAAGACUGGGAUAACUUCGGGAAACCGUAGCUAAUACCGGAUAAUAUUUUGAACCGCAUGGUUCAAAAGUGAAAGACGGUCUUGCUGUCACUUAUAGAUGGAUCCGCGCUGCAUUAGCUAGUUGGUAAGGUAACGGCUUACCAAGGCAACGAUGCAUAGCCGACCUGAGAGGGUGAUCGGCCACACUGGAACUGAGACACGGUCCAGACUCCUACGGGAGGCAGCAGUAGGGAAUCUUCCGCAAUGGGCAAAAGCCUGACGGAGCAACGCCGCGUGAGUGAUGAAGGUCUUCGGAUCGUAAAACUCUGUUAUUAGGGAAGAACAUAUGUGUAAGUAACUGUGCACAUCUUGACGGUACCUAAUCAGAAAGCCACGGCUAACUACGUG
rnacentral:rRNA from 1 species